rnacentral:rRNA from 1 species
UAGGGAAUCUUCGGCAAUGGGGGCAACCCUGACCGAGCAACGCCGCGUGAGUGAAGAAGGUUUUCGGAUCGUAAAGCUCUGUUGUAAGAGAAGAACGUGUGUGAGAGUGGAAAGUUCACACAGUGACGGUAACUUACCAGAAAGGGACGGCUAACUACGUGC